UUUACAUAUAUCUGUUUAGGUCAUGUUUAUCAUAGGCAAACAGUUACAGGUAAAUUGUUUAUAACACAACCAAUACACGUGGAAAUUGAAAGAACCUCGACAGCAAAAUGGAAAAAGAUAAGAAAAUUAUAAAAGAAAAAAGAGCUUGGGUUAACAAACAGAUUGGAGCCGCUGUGGUACUCACAACAGUAAUUUUUAUAACUUUAUUUUAUUAUAGUCCAUUAUCUGUAAAAGGAGUUAGCACCACCGCUGAUCGUUUGGUAUUCACCUUCCGUUGUCUCUUCGUCUCAUCUUUUUCCAUUAUAUACGGAAUUCACACAGUAGGAUCAGUCAGAGGAAGUACUAAAGCAAUAGAUCCUGUGAACGGAGGAGGAGAAUCAUUGGUUGAUGUGCCAAACCGGAUAUUACGUAAUACAGUGGAACAGUUCUUUCUUCAUAUGAUCGCACUGCUAACUCUAUCAUCUUUUCUCGACGAGGGAUCAAUGAAAGCCAUUCCAAUACUGACAUUUAUUUUUAUUCUAGGAAGGAUUUUAUUUUACUUUGGAUAUACUUAUGAUCCAAUAUAUAGAGGACUAGGAUUUGCUAGUACAUUUCUUCCAACAAUAGCUACAUAUUUAUACUGCUCAUUCCGUAUAUUGCAGACACUUCUGACGUAAACAUUUAAUGAGCAUGCGUAACGUUACGAGAACGGAACUUUGUGAUAGGAAAACGAACACAACCGAAUUUUCAUCAAUUUAAAUAUUUUACUUAGUGUGACAAAUAAGUCUCAUUUAAAAAUUAUAUUUUAUUUUCAACGAUUUGAUGAUAUAUACAGACAAAUUUUCCUUACAAAUAAAUAUUGCCAACAACAA